UACGGGGGGGGCAAGCGUUGUUCGGAAUUACUGGGCGUAAAGGGCGCGUAGGCGGUCCGCUAAGUUGGAUGUGAAAACUCUGGGCUUAACCCAGAGCCUGCAUUCAAAACUGACGGGCUAGAGUUCUGGAGGGGGUAGCGGAAUUCCUGGUGUAGCGGUGAAAUGCGCAGAUAUCAGGAGGAACACCGAUGGCGAAGGCAGCUCACUGGGACGGUACUGACGCUGAGACGCGAAAGCGUGGGGAGCAAACAGG
rnacentral:rRNA from 1 species